GACGAACGCUGGCGGCGUGCUUAACACAUGCAAGUCGAACGGAAAGGCCCUGCUUUUGUGGGGUGCUCGAGUGGCGAACGGGUGAGUAACACGUGAGUAACCUGCCCUUGACUUUGGGAUAACUUCAGGAAACUGGGGCUAAUACCGGAUAGGAGCUCCUGCUGCAUGGUGGGGGUUGGAAAGUUUCGGCGGUUGGGGAUGGACUCGCGGCUUAUCAGCUUGUUGGUGGGGUAGUGGCUUACCAAGGCUUUGACGGGUAGCCGGCCUGAGAGGGUGACCGGCCACAUUGGGACUGAGAUACGGCACAGACUCCUACGGGAGGCAGCAGAGGGGAAUAUUGCACAAUGGGCGGAAGCCUGAUGCAGCAACGCCGCGUGGGGGAUGACGGCAUUCGGGUUGUAAACCGCUUUCGCCUGUGACGAAGCGUGAGUGACGGUAAUGGGUAAAGAAGCACCGGCUAACUACGUG
rnacentral:rRNA from 1 species